ensembl:lncRNA
CGAAGAGAGUGAGCGCGAUGUUAAGCGACAGUGGGAUCUUAAGACAAUUGAAGCUGUAACCGUGUCGUCCGUCCGUCGCGGGUUAGAUGGUGAGCAUGUGAGCAAAUGUACCAGCGUCGCAAACCGUCUGCGUAAGGCAAAUCAGACUCGGAUGUCUGAUGUGUUUCAGCUGUCUCGCUUUUAUACUGUAGACUCUUCACCCUCAUGCAGCUCUACGGUUUUGGAAAUCACCCGUUGGAAUUAGGAUGAUUUACACAGGCCAUAUGCGGGUGUCUUGUGCGUCCUGACGCACCGAGAGGAUCACUCGUGUCUAGUUUCCGUCUUUGUCGGCAGGCAGCGCACACUCUCAUCAGGACCAUUCACACGCACUGAUUCACAGAAGGAAGGACGUCCUUAAGAUUACAGUUUGCUGCCCCUCUGCACAGGAACAGAUGGAUUUUUCAAAAGAUUUUUUAUUUUUUUUUUGGUUCUUCGUCUGACAGAGAGGUUGCUGAAAAAACAAGAUGGA